ensembl:lncRNA
GAUCUCUGACCCGACUGCUCGCUCUCUAAUGAGUGAUAAACACAACAUGAUGCGUUUCUUUCCUACACCAACACAGCCGUCCAUCACUACUGAGAAAUCCACUGCAUAUGUUCCUCAGCCCCGGCUGUCCGUGACUCCUGAAGUUCUCACAGAGAGAGGAUCAGUGCAGAUUCACUGUCAUGUUCCAGACAAUGUUAAAGUGUCUCGGUGUCAGUUCUACCCAGAGAGAGACAACACAAAUCUAAAACUCUCUCCAUCAUGUCAGCUCUCAGUCACUGGUUCUGAACUGAUCAGGUGGACAGGACGAAGUUCUCCUGGAACACUUCAUAUUACUUGUUACUACACUGUGGAUAACUCUGUUCGUACUCCUUCUCCUCACUCUCUCCCAGCUCCAGUCACAGUGCUGAGUAAGCUCUACAUUACAUGUAUCUUUAUAAUAUAUGUGCAUUCUGUGUAUUAAUAUCUGCUUGAAUCAUAAAAUUACAUUAAUGUUCCUUAAUGCUAUUUUUGGUGUAAUUUAUUAAUUGAUUUAUUUUAUUUAUUCCUCUGCAG